rnacentral:misc_RNA from 1 species
GAUGAAGAACGUAGCGAAAUGCGAUAAGUAAUGUGAAUUGCAGAAUUCAGUGAAUCAUCGAAUCUUUGAACGCACAUUGCGCCCGUCAGUAUUCUGGCGGGCAUGCCUGUUCGAGCGUCAUUACGCCCCUCAAGUCCCCUGUGGACUUGGUGUUGGGGAUCGGCGAGGCUGGUUUUCCAGCACAGCCGUCCCUUAAAUUAAUUGGCGGUCUCGCCGUGGCCCUCCUCUGCGCAGUAGUAAAACACUCGCAACAGGAGCCCGGCGCGGUCCACUGCCGUAAAACCCCCCAACUUUUUAUAGUUGACCUCGAAUCAGGUAGGACUACCCGCUGAACUUAAGCAUAUCAAUAAGGGGAGGA